GCCAAGGGAGAGAGGCCAGCCUGGGAAGCCUGCAGUCACAGUCGCCAAGGAAGUCUAGUCUAGAUGAGGAGGGGCGGACCCCCCUCGGACUUUUCCCAGCCUGCUGCAGAACCGUACAAGCCAUCCCAGACGCCUGCAGAGGGCGCCAGGUCCUUCCCAGCCUCGCAGAGUCGGACUGGAGCUCAGGCUCAGUUCCGUGCUCCCAGGUAGAGCCUGGGCACUCUCCAGAUGGAAGACAGAGAUGGCCCCUUUGAACUGGUGGCACCCAGUGCAGGGGAGCUGCAGUAGCAGAAGAGCGGGUGCGCAAGAUGUGGAUGAAGAGCCAGCAGUUUCAGGACAUCCUGGACAGAGACAGAAUCUCACAGCUUUCCAACAGACAACCUUCAAGAAAGAGGAUUUUUGACCUUGGGCUUCUCACCAGCAGAUGGUCUUCAGCACACUCAUCCUCCCCAGCUUCAGGGGCGUCUCAAAGGACCGGUCCUAUCAGAUGCAGCUGUGAACCUCAGAC
rnacentral:lncRNA from 1 species